UUCUGUGUAGUUUAAGUGUCUAACACAUGGUAGAAUCCCCUGCUAAGGGCGAAUGCAGGUUCAAAUCCUGCCACAGAAUCA
rnacentral:tRNA from 1 species